AGAGAAGUGAGAGGUGUCAGAUGGCUGCUGCAAGGACCAGUAACAAUCAGUGUUUAGAGGAGUUGCCUAUGGGAAACCAUUGAGGAGGCACGAAACUCUGGAGGAACUUGCUGGAAAUGGUGCCUCAGAUGUCAAGCGCUCAUUGAUGUCUGUGUUUUCAAGCUAGACCUGGGACCAUUAUGCUGACAGUGAUAGCAGUCAGUUUGUCAAAUGGAAUGACACUGUCUCUCCAGAUUCUGUUCUUUGUGGCCAUGGGAUUCUGUCAGAAGCCUUGGCACACAGUACACAGCCCUUGUGAAAUUUAUAGCUGCAAUCCUGCUCAGAAAUAGAGCACACCAGCAUAAUUAGCUGACUUUGCCUUUUACAAAGAUUGCUGGAGAAACUGGAUACAACUGUCCAGGAAUUAUCCUGGCACAUUGAUUCCCUGAGUUUGGAGUGUAUAUCAGUGUUUAAAAUGGAGUGUUUUAAUGAAACAGUUAGGAAGAAGGGAACUCUACAGGAACCUGGGGGGAUGUGCUCAUGAGGUGCUUCUAUGGACUGCUGUCCACAAGAAUACAGAAGUGGAUAAUGUUUAAGAAGAAAUAGGAGUUCAAAAAUCCCCAUGUGUGACACUGAGAAGACAACCCCAGAUGGUCAAUCUGCAGCUUUGUGGAGUGACACACCCAGGGGCUACUUUUCAGCUGCCAACACAAGUAAUGCUGAAUUUUCCCAUUGUGAGGGAUGUUACCACCCCCUUUGCAUGGCUGGAACCCAAAGGGAAACAGAGGCCUUGCAUUUUCCUUGUUUUCAUACCCCCUGUUUUCCCUCCCUGUUUUCAUACUCUCAAAUGGGAGAGGGAUGCAACAUGGGCAAAUUGAAUUGAGUGUAGUUUUUGAGAUGCAUUCAUAUGUUUGCCUCUAUUCCUCGUUACAACAGCUGCUGAUAAUUCAGGGCCUUUUAAGUCCUUGUUUGGUUUGCCAAGAUAGGCAUCCAGAAAGGCACAGCUUCAAAAGGCUGGAAUAUGUAAAGGGAUUUUGAAAACAUUUGAAAUGAGAAUAGAUUUGGGGUUUGUAGUUGUCAUGUCCUGGAGGUGUUAGGAGAUGUGUGAACAGGUUCUAUGAGAUGGAGAGGUCCUUGAAAAGGAAGGUAGGCAGGAAGUUGUUCCUUUUAUGAGAGUAAGGACCAACGAGGCACGGCCAUGAAGAGAGCCCUGUGGCAACAGUUCUUGGAUUGGAGGCGGAGGGGCAGUCUGUCUGACACAUGGCACUCUGGAUGUCAAAGCAGGCAGUGCAGCCCAGUGUGUAUUCCAGGGAUAUUGGAGCAUGCUGCAGUUAUUUCAGAGCCACUGCUUCUCCUGGCCAGUUGGUGCAGAGCUCUGUGGCUGCCUGCCCUGAGCUGUGUUUGGAACAAGGUUUGCAGUGCAUGCAGUCCUGUCCCAGCUCUCACCACCAACAUGGGCACUGGGCAGGGGCUGCACAUAGACACAGAGAGCUGCUACCAACAUGUGAACAGCACGUGGAAAGGCUGAAGUCAAAACCCACAUGACUUGCACCUUACUUAGAUGUGGCCAAGACUUGUUCGGAUGAUGGAUCUGGACUUGUGAUCUGUGUGUUUUUUUCACCCUAAGGCAAAUUGCCAUCCUGAACUCCAGGCCCGUCUGUUGACAAUGUGGCUGGCAUCCCUGGGACCAUGCAUAUGAAAGAGGUUUUACAGUGACUUCUGGGAGCCAGAGGAAAAUUUGAUAAGAGGGUCCAUGUUUACCCCUGAAAGAAUUUUCUACCAUGGCUGUUGAUAUAGAAACCAAGAAAGAAAGAAGGAUAAGUAAGAGAAACCUGCAACUGCCUAUUCCAAUAAGCGCUUUGUCUCUCAUGACCAAUGAGUAAAGUGUAAACUUAUGAGUCUUGUAAGAAUGUAUAAAAAACCUGGAGUUUUGAAGCCUACUGA